GUGCUCAUUUUGACAGCACCUAUACUAAAAUUGGAACGAAACAGAGAAGAUUAGCAUGGCCCCUGUGUAAGGAUGGACACACAAAUUCAUGAAGCAUUCCAUAAUUUU
ensembl:snRNA U6 U6 spliceosomal RNA